UUUGAGCAUAGAAGUAGCAAAGGUUGUAACUAUGGACCACCUUAUGAAUGGCAAGUCUACAAUGCCCUUGGUGGUAGUCAUGGGAUACCACGUGUCCAUUACAAGGGACGGCAAGGUGAUUACUACAUAAUGGUUAUGGAUAUGCUUGGUCCUAGUUUGUGGGAUGUCUGGAACAAUAAUUCUCAUGCGAUGAAUACUGAAAUGGUAGCAUGCAUUGCCAUUGAAGCAAUAUCCAUACUUGAGAAGUUGCACUCUAGAGGGUAUGUGCACGGGGAUGUGAAACCUGAAAACUUUCUUCUUGGAACUCCUGGAACUCCUGAUGAGAAAAACCUGUUUCUGGUUGACCUUGGAUUAGCAACUAAGUGGCGCGAUACUUCAAGUGGUCUCCAUGUUGAAUAUGACCAAAGGCCUGAUGUCUUUAGGGGAACUGUAAGGUAUGCUAGUGUGCACGCUCACCUUGGAAGAACUGGAAGCCGGAGGGAUGACCUAGAAUCGCUGGCUUACACUCUCAUCUUUCUACUUCGAGGCCGGCUGCCUUGGCAGGGAUAUCAGGGUGAGAAUAAAGGUUUCCUUGUCUGUAAGAAAAAGAUGGCGACUUCUCCAGAAACGCUUUGCUGCUUCUGCCCUGCUCCAUUUAGACAGUUUGUGGAAUAUGUUGUGAACUUGAAGUUUGAUGAGGAGCCUAAUUAUGCGAAAUAUAUCUCAUUGUUUGACGGAAUAGUAGGUCCAAAUCCAGACAUCAGGCCAAUCAACACUGAUGGUGCACAGAAGCUUAUAUAUCAAGUCGGACAGAAGAGAGGAAGGCUUACAAUGGAAGAAGAUGACGAUGAACAACCAAAGAAGAAAGUACGGAUGGGAAUGCCUGCAACACAAUGGAUUAGUGUUUACAAUGCUCGUCGCCCAAUGAAGCAAAGGUAUCAUUAUAAUGUUGCUGAUAUGAGGCUGGCUCAGCACAUUGAGAAAGGAAAUGAGGAUGGACUAUACAUUAGCAGUGUGGCAUCUUGUUCAAACUUGUGGGCCUUAAUUAUGGAUGCCGGGACUGGGUUCACUUCUCAAGUUUAUGAGUUGUCACCUUAUUUUCUUCACAAGGAGUGGAUUAUGGAGCAAUGGGAGAAGAAUUAUUAUAUUAGUGCGAUAGCAGGAGCUAAUAAUGGGAGCUCCUUAGUAGUUAUGUCAAAGGGUACCCAAUAUCUGCAGCAGUCCUACAAAGUCAGCGAGUCAUUUCCUUUCAAGUGGAUAAACAAAAAAUGGAGAGAGGGAUUCUAUGUCACGGCAAUGGCAACUGCAGGAAGUAGAUGGGCAAUUGUUAUGUCUCGUGGGGCUGGGUUCUCUGAUCAGGUGGUGGAGUUAGAUUUUCUCUAUCCUAGUGAAGGGAUUCAUAGAAGGUGGGAUGCUGGUUACCGUAUCACGUCAACUGCAGCGACAUGGGAUCAAACUGCUUUAGUUCUAAGUGUUCCAAGAAGGAAGCCUACAGAUGAAACACAAGAGACACUUCGUACUUCUGCUUUUCCUAGCACUCAUGUUAAGGAGAAGUGGGCCAAGAACCUUUAUAUUGCAUCUGUGUGUUAUGGGAGAACUGUUUCUUGAGGAACUUAAAAAAAUAUGGCAAUUUUCUUGGGUGUCGUGAUACUCUGCUGUAUGUGCCCUGAAAAAGUGCCUGCUUGUUUUUCAUCUAAAUGGAGAAAAAUGGAUGCCGUCUCUCCUCGUUCGCUAGCUGGCUCUUUUAUUCUCCUUUGGAUAUGAUAUCCCCUAAAUCCCAUAUCAGCAGUGGCUAAUUGGUGUUGUGGCUGACAAAUGCUCAGAAUUCCUAAUGUGGUUACUUGAUGGUAAGUUCCGGUAGUUUCUUUCCUCUUGUAAUUUAUUGUUUGCCACAAUUGUACACAGGAUUUAGAGCAUAAUGUUGGACCUAUGUCCUUGAGCAAGAUCCAAUUUUCAGAUAACAUUGAUCUUAUGGAUUCAUGGCCUUGUAAAUCUUGUUGUUAUUAUAAAUGGCAUUAAGAGGUACAUGAGCUUCAUGAGAUGGGACUCUUCAAAAGUACGGGCUAGAACAUGAAGAGAACUCCAGUUCGUGAAGUAUAACUGGGUAUGAUUAAUUCAAGUUUUGACAAUUUUGGAAAAGGAAGAAACUGAUUCUUUCUGCAUCUCGUAUUGCAAGGUUCGCUUUCCUCAAUAGAGUUCUGGUUCUUGUUGUAGAUUUUGGCACUUCAUGUGGUUUGGGAUUAAUUGUUGUGGUUAUUUCAAGGAUUUUGGAAUAUAGAAAUGUGGCAUGUAUCAAACCAAACUCCAUCUGCCCCUUCUUUUUUGGGAAAACGUUGGGGCUGAGGUAGGUUUUAGUAUCUGUGUAAGAAAGAUCUCAUGAAAAGAAUUUCCAUCAAACUGGUCUAGUAUGUAAAAUUAAAGGCGAUUUGGUUGGUUUUAAUUUCAAUGGAUACAAAAGACAAUAAUCUCAUUCUUCCAGAGUCUUCUAAGAGAACUCAGUAGAUAGCUAUCAUGUAAAACUUGGUGCUUUUGGAUGUGUGCUGCUUGCUGAAUGUAUGUUUUGCAUGUAUUUCAGAUUGUGAUCUUUGAGCUGUUUGAUUUGACCUGUCUUCUUGAGUUCGUUUAACCUUCCUGUGCUUCAAUGUUGUGCCUGUGAAUUUAACUGCAAUUGCCUUCUGGAUUGUUGGGGCUUGAUAUAGGAAGGCGGCAACUCUCCGUGCAGAUCGUCUUUUACUGGUCUUAGUGUAUAGCUUCUCAUUCUUGUGUGACCAAUCAUAUCUAAUGGGAUGUGCAUCUUUUGUGGUUAAGCGCUGAUCUUAUGCACAAAAAAAAAGUGCAACCAGUGUUAGUGCUAUUAGUACUGAUAUCAGAAGCUUGGUUUCCUGCAUCAAGCUGAUGCGUGUUUAGACACUGAUGGAUCCAAACACAAUUUCAACUUGGCCUAUGCUGGUAAAACUGCCGUCUUGUGGUUGCAGAAUCGCUUGAUCAAAGUUGUGACUUGCAGUUAGCCUGUUACAUAGCUGUACAAGUGCUUGAUUUAGAAUGUGUAAGGUUUAAUGUUCUGAAAUAAUGGUGCAAUUUAUGCCUAAUACAAUAACUUCUAAAAUGUAGUUAAUUACAAAAGAAAUUUGGCGCAAAUUGGUAACGGAUUAAAUGAAUCUAAUUUUUCAAGUUGGAUUUGGUCAUCCUUGACUGGGAACGCUCGUUUGGUAAUAUUAAGCGUUAACACCCCAACCCGGCCAAUCCCACUGAUAAUUGUGGGAAAAAAAAAAGGGGAAUGCAAAUGCUCGGGCCUUUAGGUUAUUUCGAUAUUUAUUUGAUUUUUUACCAUGCAAUAUGCACAAAUAGUAUUAACCAUUAUCUUGAGUUUGCACUUUCACCUUAAAGAGAGACGCCAAACCUAUUGAUGAUACCGUGCCUCAAAAUGUAACAGGCAAAAUAUUGAGUUAUUAAAACUGAAAAGAGAGUUCCUGCUGAGAGUUAGCAGUAGUAUGAAGUUGGCGUUAGAGAUUGGUCUAAUUGUAUUUUAUUGGAGAUUUGUUGGAUGAUAAAUAAGCAGUUUAUAUUAGUUCAAAGAUGUACGAACUGCAGUAUCUAUUGUAAUUUAUUGGAAAUUUGUUGGAAGAAAUAAGCUGUUUAGAUUAGUUCAAGAUACCCACAAGGGUGGUUGAAUUGGUUCAACGAGUGGUUUCCCACAUGGGUGACCUCCAACAACCUUCUUAGUUUGAGCUUGUCGUGUGAGGUUUGCCCAGUGAGGUUUACAUCUCCUGUGUGGUUUGUGGGAAUUGUAUUAGGAGCGGAAUGUUUAACUAGAGCAUCUAAAGGGUAGCGACUGUGGGUUUUCUAGUUUAAAAAAAAAAAGAAAAAAAAGAAGAGAAGAAGAAGAAGAAGAAGAAGAAGAAGAUUAGUUCAGGAUGUUUGAACUGCAGUAUCUAGUUGUAAUUUAUUGGAGAUUUGCAGUUUAGAUUAGUUCAAGAUGUACGAACUGCAAUACCGCGUUUGUCUCCUUGCCCAGUGGCACAGAAUCAACAAUAUGACCUGCACAUAAUUUUCACCAAAUUUGCAACCAAUAUGAACGUCUUUGACCCACUAUUUCUUCCUUUAUCUGGCAAUUAUUAUGGUGACACUGACAUAAUCUGGUCGUAAAUCGGGUCAAAGUUAAGAUAUGACUAGUGAAUGAAAUGUGCUGAAAUUUGAAAACUUAUGCUAAUCGAAUUUCUUAUUAGCGAGUCACUAAGUAGCUAGUUGUGAGAAUAAUAACACAAUUAUGUUAAAUGAAUAAAAUAAGAAAAUAAAAAAAAAA